UAAUACAUCGGAACGUGUCCCGUAGUGGGGGAUAGCCCGGCGAAAGCCGGAUUAAUACCGCAUAUGCUCUACGGAGGAAAGUGGGGGACUCGCAAGGGCCUCACGCUAUGGGAGCGGCCGAUGUCCGAUUAGCUUAUUGGCGGGGUAAUGGCCCACCAAGGCGACGAUCGGUAGCUGGUCUGAGAGGAUGAUCAGCCACACUGGGACUGAGACACGGCCCAG
rnacentral:rRNA from 1 species